GUGCCAGCAGCCGCGGUAAUACAGAGGUCCCGAGCGUUGUUCGGAUUCAUUGGGCGUAAAGGGUGCGUAGGCGGCGGGGCAAGUCUGAUGUGAAAUCCUGGGGCUCAACCCCAGAACUGCAUUGGAUACUGCCUUGCUAGAGUACUGGAGAGGGAACUGGAAUUUACGGUGUAGCAGUGAAAUGCGUAGAGAUCGUAAGGAAGGCCAGUGGCGAAGGCGAGUUCCUGGACAGUAACUGACGCUGAGGCACGAAGGCCAGGGGAGCAAACGGGAUUAGAUACCCCCGUAGUCC
rnacentral:rRNA from 1 species